AGCAGCCGCGGUAAUUCCAGCUCCAAUAGCGUAUAUUAAAGUUGUUGCAGUUAAAAAGCUCGUAGUUGAAUUUCGGGAUCAGUUCGUUGGUCGUGCCUCUGGUAUGUACUGGUGUUACUGGUUCCUCCCUUCUGACGAACCGUCAUGUCAUUAAUUUGGUGUGGCGGGAAAUCAGGACUGUUACUUUGAAAAAUUAGAGUGUUUAAAGCAGGCUCGCGCUUGAAUACAUUAGCAUGGAAUAAUGAAAUAGGACGUUCGAUCCUAUUUUGUUGGUUUCUAGGAUUGACGUAAUGAUUAAUAGGGAUAGUUGGGGGCAUUAGUAUUCAAUUGUCAGAGGUGAAAUUCUUGGAUUUAUUGAAGACUAACUACUGCGAAAGCAUUUGCCAAGGAUGUUUUCAUUAAUCAAGAACGAAAGUUAGGGGAUCGAAGACGAUCAGAUACCGUCGUAGUCUUAACCAUAAACUAUGCCGACUAGGGAUCGGAUGAUGUUAAUUUUUAAUGUACUCAUUCGGCGCCUUAA
rnacentral:rRNA from 1 species